GCGUUGAAAAGCUCGGGGAUGACUUGUGGGUAGCGGUGAAAUUCCAAUCGAGCCCGGAGAUAGCUGGUUCUCCCCGAAAUAGCUUUAGGGCUAGCCUCAAGGUGAGAGAUACGGAGGUAGAGCACUGAAUGUCCUAGGGGGUAUUGCACCUACCGAAGACUAUCAAACUCCGAAUGCCGUCAUCUUAUACUUGGGAGUCAGACUGUGGGUGAUAAGAUUCAUAGUCGAAAGGGCAACAGCCCAGAUCGUCAGCUAAGGUCCCUAAAUGUAAGUUAAGUGGUAAAGGAUGUGGGAUUGCACAGACAACCAGGAUGUUGGCUUAGAAGCAGCCACUCAUUCAAAGAGUGCGUAAUAGCUCACUGGUCGAGUGAUCCUGCGCCGAAGAUUUCCGGGGCUAAAACUUACUACCGAAGCUACGGCAUCAGUAAUGAGGGGUAGGGGAGCUUCCCAUACGGGUUGAAGCAUGACCGUAAGGACAAGUGGACAGUAUGGGAGUGAGAAUGUUGGCAUGAGUAGCGAGAUGUGGGUGGGAAUCACACAGGCCGUAAACCCAAGGUUUCCAGGGGAAGGUUCGUCCACCCUGGGUUAGUCGGGACCUAAGAUGAGGCCGAAAGGCGUAGGUGAUGGACAACAGGUGGAUCUUCCUGUACUACCGAGCACCGGUCGAACGAAGGGAUGACACAGUAGGAUAAGCUAAGCACACUGUUGGUUAUGUGUGCCCAAGCAUUGAGGCAGUCAAAGUAGG
rnacentral:rRNA from 1 species